rnacentral:rRNA from 1 species
CAGUCGAACGAACUCUGGUAUUGAUUGGUGCUUGCAUCAUGAUUUACAUUUGAGUGAGUGGCGAACUGGUGAGUAACACGUGGGAAACCUGCCCAGAAGCGGGGGAUAACACCUGGAAACAGAUGCUAAUACCGCAUAACAACUUGGACCGCAUGGUCCGAGCUUGAAAGAUGGCUUCGGCUAUCACUUUUGGAUGGUCCCGCGGCGUAUUAGCUAGAUGGUGGGGUAACGGCUCACCAUGGCAAUGAUACGUAGCCGACCUGAGAGGGUAAUCGGCCACAUUGGGACUGAGACACGGCCCAAACUCCUACGGGAGGCAGCAGUAGGGAAUCUUCCACAAUGGACGAAAGUCUGAUGGAGCAACGCCGCGUGAGUGAAGAAGGGUUUCGGCUCGUAAAACUCUGUUGUUAAAGAAGAACAUAUCUGAGAGUAACUGUUCAGGUAUUGACGGUAUUUAACCAGAAAGCCACGGCUAACUACGUGCCAGCAGCCGCGGUAAUACGUAGGUGGCAAGCGUUGUCCGGAUUUAUUGGGCGUAAAGCGAGCGCAGGCGGUUUUUUAAGUCUGAUGUGAAAGCCUUCGGCUCAACCGAAGAAGUGCAUCGGAAACUGGGAAACUUGAGUGCAGAAGAGGACAGUGGAACUCCAUGUGUAGCGGUGAAAUGCGUAGAUAUAUGGAAGAACACCAGUGGCGAAGGCGGCUGUCUGGUCUGUAACUGACGCUGAGGCUCGAAAGUAUGGGUAGCAAACAGGAUUAGAUACCCUGGUAGUCCAUACCGUAAACGAUGAAUGCUAAGUGUUGGAGGGUUUCCGCCCUUCAGUGCUGCAGCUAACGCAUUAAGCAUUCCGCCUGGGGAGUACGGCCGCAAGGCUGAAACUCAAAGGAAUUGACGGGGGCCCGCACAAGCGGUGGAGCAUGUGGUUUAAUUCGAAGCUACGCGAAGAACCUUACCAGGUCUUGACAUACUAUGCAAAUCUAAGAGAUUAGACGUUCCCUUCGGGGACAUGGAUACAGGUGGUGCAUGGUUGUCGUCAGCUCGUGUCGUGAGAUGUUGGGUUAAGUCCCGCAACGAGCGCAACCCUUAUUAUCAGUUGCCAGCAUUAAGUUGGGCACUCUGGUGAGACUGCCGGUGACAAACCGGAGGAAGGUGGGGAUGACGUCAAAUCAUCAUGCCCCUUAUGACCUGGGCUACACACGUGCUACAAUGGAUGGUACAACGAGUUGCGAACUCGCGAGAGUAAGCUAAUCUCUUAAAGCCAUUCUCAGUUCGGAUUGUAGGCUGCAACUCGCCUACAUGAAGUCGGAAUCGCUAGUAAUCGCGGAUCAGCAUGCCGCGGUGAAUACGUUCCCGGGCCUUGUACACACCGCCCGUCACACCAUGAGAGUUUGUAACACCCAAAGUCGGUGGGGUAACCUUUUAGGAACCAGCCGCCUAAGG